rnacentral:rRNA from 1 species
GAUGAACGCUAGCGGCAGGCUUAACACAUGCAAGUCGAGGGGCAGCGCGGGUAGCAAUACCUGGCGGCGACCGGCAAACGGGUGCGGAACACGUACACAAUUUACCUUUGUCUGGGGCAUAGCCCGAAGAAAUUCGGAUUAAUUCCCCAUAAGAUAUUAGAGUGGCAUCACUCAGAUAUUAAAACUCCGGUGGACAAAGA